CGGGAUAUUCCGAGACAUUCCAUUUAAGGUAAUGAUCGAACCAGUACUGUAAGAGAAUGAUGGAACAACCAUACGACAAAUGCUGAAACAUACUGAAUAGGUUGAAGAAGUGGAAAUCAUAUUAAGGGUGGUGGAAAAAGUUCGCCUCACCAGCUGUAGCCAAAUGUUCGUUGUGAGAACUUGAUUCUUCUCAUCCUGCGUACAUGGACAGAGAAGAAUUUUAACACUGAUGGGAUUCUUAGUCCAUGACCGGUGAACCAGUACCAGAAUUAUUAAUAAAGGCUUCAAAAUGCAUCUCUCAUGUGCUGUGUGAUUGAAAGUGAGGUGGCAGAGACUUGGCAUCCAGCCUAACUGCACUGACUGGCCUUCUUCAGCUAAAGCUCUGUAUCAAGUCUUGUGCCCAUGGAGAAUGAGAGUGUUCUUUUCAGUACAUCGAGGUGUUUACAGGUCUUUGCAGCUGAGCUGGGUAAUAAUCACUCUCACAGUAGCAGAUGGACUAAACACUUGGCACAUAUUGCCACCUGAGGACAUUUCCAGGAAAACCAUGUAGGGACAAACACUCAUUGUUUAUUGUUUAUAGGGAAAAAAGGGAUAGGUUUCAGUUUGCUAUAUUGUUCCAUAAAACACAUUGUGAAUUAUCAUCAUCAUCAACAUCCUUAUCAUAAUCAUCAUCAUCAUCAUUAUCAUCAGGGAUUAUAAUAUUAUAACGUUAUAAUAUUUAUAAUAUUAUAACGUUAUAAUAUUUAUAAUAAACAUAUAAUUUAAAUACAUAUUUAAAAAAAAUGGAUUUUUGAAUUUGAUGGGGUUGAUAAAAAUGGCUUCCAAUUUUGUAUCAAAAUACUUUAUUGUAGUUUUGUAGUUUUAAAAUACUGUAAAAUACUUUGUAAGAAGUCUACAUGAUGACAUUAUUAAUAUUGUUGCCUCUGUUUGGUGCCUACUCAGCACUUUGCCCAGACUUGUUGAGAUCAGAAAAGAAAAUUGAACCAUAUGGAAGAAGGUGGUCAAGGUAAGACAUGUGCAGACUGCCAGCUUUCAAAUCCAAUGAUUGAUAAAUAAAUAUUUGAUUGAAAAAUAUUGUACCCUAAUUUAAGUAGCUGUUUAGUAGGAUGAUGAUUUGCAUACCAUUGCAUGAAUGAACUGCCUGACACAUAAUAUAUUUAUGCUUAACAAUCAAAUGAAACUAGUUGCUAUGAAUGCAGGUGCCAUCAGUUGUUUUCUUAUGAAUGACAUGUUAGUCAUUGAGUCAGUGUUGCUGAUGUAAAGUAGCCCUUCAUUACCAAACACCAAAUAACUACAUUAGGAUACAAUUAUGAGUCUUUCACAAAUUGUUAAACAUAAAAAUGUUGGUUACUAAAAAUAACCUUCAUCUGGGAGAUCACAGGUAAAUGAAUGUGAAUAUUUGGUCUGUUAACUGGUUGCAUAUAUCAGAUUUAUUGCAUGUCAGUGUAAUGGUGAAAGAGAUCAAAUAGACCAAUUGAUGGAAUGUUUGCUAAGAAAUGUCAUGCUCCCUUGUAAAUGUAUUUUGGUGUGGCUGCUGUAUUUUGUAGUUUAUUUUGAUACACUUAAAGUUAAAUAAUUUUGGUAUUUUAUUUUGAAAUACAUUUUGAUGUAUCUUUGCCCAACCCUGAUCAUCAUCAUCACUCUUUGUUUCUAUAAAAAUCUGUUUCUCUGUGUUGAAUUGCAAACACAUGUUACAUCAAGUUUAUUUUACAAAUAGUUACAAAAUAAAUGCAUUUUUUUCAUGA